AUACGGGGGGCUGCAGCGGGGAAUAUUGCACAAUGGAGGAAACUCUGAUGCAGCAACGCCGCGUGGAGGAUGACACUUUUCGGAGCGUAAACUCCUUUUAUAUAGGAAGAUAAUGACGGUACUAUAUGAAUAAGCACCGGCUAACUCCGUGCCAGCAGCCGCGGUAAUACGGAGGGUGCAAGCGUUACUCGGAAUCACUGGGCGUAAAGAGCGUGUAGGCGGGUUAAUAAGUCAGAAGUGAAAUCCUAUGGCUCAACCAUAGAACUGCUUUUGAAACUGUUAACCUAGAGUGUGGGAGAGGUAGAUGGAAUUUCUGGUGUAGGGGUAAAAUCCGUAGAGAUCAGAAGGAAUACCGAUUGCGAAGGCGAUCUACUGGAACAUAACUGACGCUGAGACGCGAAAGCGUGGGGAGCAAACAGGAUUAGAUACCCGCGUAGUC
rnacentral:rRNA from 1 species